GGGGGAUUGGCAUGCCUUGUUCCAGGCUCGUGAGGGUGAAAUCUAGGCUCUGCCCACAGACUUUGCAAUUUUCUGAACUUUGGUGGAAUUAAAGUACUUCAGAAGUGAAUAUCAAAUGAAGAAAAAAAUCAGGCAGCUGCAUAUGUUGGCAUGAUUGAUGAGAUCUGCUACAGUCAAGCAAGCAGCCCUGGGUGACCAGUUUACCCUCCCCGGCUAGGGUUCCAGCUGCCAGUUGCUCCCAUUCUGUGACAGCUUCUCCUUCUCCUCACCUUGUCAUCAAGCCAAGAUUGUACACUGUAGGAGUACAGUUUUGGUUAGGUGUUGGAGGAGGUCAUCAAGAGGAUGUGACUGCAACUUGACCUGAGAGCUGGGACUGGGCAAUCAGAGGCUCCUUACCCUCUCCGCUGUCCUUGGACCCAGCGUUCCCACACUAGGAGCUGUUUCAAGGACACAGCCCUGAGAGAGCAAUAUGUUGUUUAGACCGUCUAGACUGAAUAUGUGACUAAACUCAGUUUCUCCUUACCCCUGGAUAUGAGAGCUGGUGUCAAAU
rnacentral:lncRNA from 1 species